UGUAUUUCAGUAAUUUUUUCUAAAAAAACUGAAUUUUUUUUGGGCUUUAGGCUCAAUUUCACCUGUCUUAAACUAACAAGAUAACAAUCAACAUAAAAGAUGGGCCUUCUUUGGCCCAAUAAUUACAAAAUAAAGCUGAGAAUUUAAAGAAAACUUUUGGCCCAUUUCUGCUGCAUAUGAGGGUUGUAUCACACUGUAUAUCGGUGCAUAUGCAGCGUAUUUUCAGCUCCAAAACCUGUUCUUUGAUUUUUAUGGCUGUCUGACUCGAAAAAGGUGGAAUUAGGCCUCUGUGGCCCAAUAAGAAGAUGCAAGGAAGAGGGGAUUUGAGUCCCAUUUGGACUCCGGACAGAUCCACAUACAACAUAGAAAAAUAAGAAACAUAUUAGCGUAAUGCAAAAAUUCUCUCAACGAAAGUUAACUUCAAUUUAAAACACAUAGUUACAUAAUCCAAAUAAUAUUUUAACAUAAUGACACAUGUAAAUAUUAUAUAUGAAUUAUGCUCACAUUUUGACCAAUCCCAACAGUAGCUUUGACAAACAUUUAACCACUUAUAUAAAUGUCUUCAAGAGGGUCAACAAUUUAACUAAUUCAUGGCAAAAGUUAAGGACCAAACCCACAUUAAUCAGAACAUCUCAAGUGAAAAAGAAAACAAUGCGGUUUAAAUUACUAUGCAUAUGAAACACCCAAACUCGUUCUUUACUAGAUAGAGGCGAUACUUGCGAUUACUUAAAAGAGUCACUAUAAUUUGUACAAACCACUCCAUAACAUAAUAGAGAAAAACAAGAUGGCCAUUAUAAAUUCAAGUAACAGUAACACAAGGCUAUCUAUCGCCAUAAUAAAAAUCAAUCAAGCAUAAAAUUACAACAAUUAACGCUAUACCCAGCUAAUUCUUUCAUCCUAUUUCAAGAAAUCUGGAAACAAAACUCAUGCUAAUCUAGUGCUCCAUUAACAGAAAGUGGACCCUUUUUAAAUCAAGAAACAUGAGCUAAACUUAGACUAAGAUUACAAGAUCAUAAUCAGUAUUGAAGCUACACUCAUGCUAACAAGAAUCUCUUUACGCAUUCAUGACAAAACAAUCAGCUAACUAGAAUGAAUGAAUGAGUCCUGGCAACAUGUAAUCGUCGAGUACUAAACGAGUCAAACAAUUUCAUACUACGACUACGAGAUGAUCCCAAAUGAUGAAACAGAGGUUUUAAACCUCAGAAACUAGUCUUGCAGGCAGCCCACAACAUAAGAAAAACGAAUCGAAAGUUAAGAGUGUACAAAACAUCAACAUGGAAAACAACACAUCAAACUAAUUUCGAACAUGAUAGCAUGAACAUAUUUGGCAUUCAGAGAGAGAGUACUAUCAGUGUACAGCCCAUACUAGUAUAAUCUAAGAGAUAUGAAACCUUUUCUAAAUAAAGAAUGAAAUUUUAACGGAAAUAGAUACUUGAACGAGAUCAUAAUAGGACACAUAAAAGUCGAGAAGUAAGAAAGCAACAAAACGAAAUAAGGAAGAGAUUCUCACCUUUUCUUGGGCAACGAACCGGACAAAACGAGCUAACCACGAAGACGGACGAUUCCUCUACCAAAAUGAGACUACGAGACAACAGAGAGAACGUCGAGCUCGAAAACGAAACCGAAACUUGAAUAUUCCUCUAUCUCACUCGACUGUUUCGGGUCUAUUUUUAUAUCGAAAACCUUUGUAUUUUCAUUAUGAUGUUGUAUCUAAUUUCUAAAUAUGGACUCCAUUUUUUCUCACCCCUAAUAUUGUAAGAGAAAAGAGCUUAUAUAGAGGAGAAAUAGGGCUGAAAUCCGGGUGGAAUUUCAAAUUUGAAAUUCGAAUUCCCUCAAGAGAUAAGGUUGGAUAGCUGUUGCAUAGUACGAAUCCUUAAUGGAAAAACGAUUUGAGACGCUUGAUUGAAGCGAAGGACGAACGAGGGAGAGGAUUGAGGAGAGAGGAGACGCGGGUCUGGUUCUCUUUGCUCGCAAUUUGGAUUUGAAAUCUGCUGGGUUUGCGUUUCUGGGGAAGAAGACGCGGGUACGGGUCGGGGUGUACUGGUUUGGGCGUUGUAUGUUGUUGCUGGAAUGGGUAUUGUUUUGCUGUACGCUGCUGGUUUAUUUUG
rnacentral:lncRNA from 1 species